UGAGGAAGAGCAGCAGAAGUACGCAGUGGAGCUGGUGUCAUUUCUUGUCUAUGAGGGGGCGCUGCCUCAUACACCCACGCCCAGGCAGAGGGAGCGUGGUGCGGCCAGGAAUCUGAAACAGAGAGCAAAUACAUGACUGAGGUGUGUGCCUGGCUAGCUAGCUGCUGUUGUAAGGAGGAGUGCAUACAAAGAAACUCCAAACAUACGUUCAUGCAGCCCUUGUGUCUUCUUGUGAUACUGGUCAGAACCUGGCCAGCCCUUCUGGUUUCAAGUAGAGCUGUCCAUUUCUCCUCCCCUACUUCCUUCUUUUACAAGCUAGGUUACAAGGUUACAAUUGGGUUUGACCUUCAGCCAGGUUGUUUGGCUGCUCGGCCUGAUAAACUGUUCCAUCCAAAGAAAAAAUAUCCAUGCGAUUAGGGGGCGGUCACACACAAUUUUUUUCGGCCUUUUUUCCGUCAGUGUUGAAAAAAAUUUUCACUUUGGGCGAAAAAAAUUGCGGUCACACACAAAAUUUUUUUCCUCGGGCAAAUUUUUUUGGCCCACCCAAAAAAUUUUUCGGUUCCAGCCAGAAGUCACUAGGGACCGUCUUUGGGAAAUUUUUUUGGUUGGGGUCAGUUUUCAGUUACCGUUUGGGAGUGCCUCUUGGGAGUGCCCCUUCAAUGCAAGAUCCAAAAACACAAAAAUUUUCAGUUUUUUUCAACAUUCACAUAUUUCAUCUUUGAGGGUGGCGCCAUGCCUCCCAAAGGCAAGCAAGGGUCCAAUGGCAGGGGGAGGGGGGCAAGAAAUCAGCCCCGCAAGAAAGCACAGGUGUUCAGGCCAGAUGAGGACCAGCGCAAGCCUAGCAGGGACCUGCAGAUGUCAGAGGCAGUGGUGGUAGGCAGCCAGUCUGGCGGCUCSUUGCAUGCGCUUGCAGCCCAUGCAGCUGAUCAGUUGCAGCUUGAGCAGGAUCAGCAGCAGGUGAGCGAAGUCACACAUGCAGCCAAGAGGCCGCUGCGCGCAGCAGCACCCAAGCCGGGAGCUCACRAGGGUUUGGAUGGGGAGCCAGCCUACGAUGGUGAAAGUGAGGUACCAUAUUUGGUCAUUUCCUCCAUGCAAGCAUUUGGCGRCAAGGAAAGCCAAGAACCAUCCUCAAUCUUUCUACGCAGAGCACUAAAAUUCCAUAUUUGUGCAUCAUCAACUUGACCUGSMCCCCUAGCGCUAACAAACGUGAACUUGCCAUGAGCAUCAACACAUACGAAAAGAAUAAUAGCCAUGUGCUUUUUGUAUCAAUAGUAGACAYUACCCCACUCAUAUGGCUUUUCAAUCCUCAUGAAUGUUCCGUCYAUUGCACCAGCACAAAAAGGCAAAUUGCACAAGCCUCUGAAAUCUCGCAUGACGCGCAUGAGUUCCUGUCCUUCUGGAAAGACGAUCAUGCUUGGCACAAAUUUUUUGCACAGCACAUACACAACUUCAUGAAUUUACUUCUCAACAGGGAUCGCACUCCGCAUACGUGUGUCUUGCUUUGCUGCGCUGUGGGGUCACUACCAUCCAGAACCAAGGUGACAGCUGUUAUCACAACUUUCAAGGCCCAAGUUGAGAAGCCUGACUGCUCAGUUACUAGCUCUGGAAUGAUGGCUGCCAGCCAUACAAGGAGGAGGGCAGCACUCAUGGUCCUUUCUUGAAAGGGCCUGCAAGAGACUGUCUGAAAGGGGCACUUUCACCGUGGCUAAGCACUGAAGAAAAAAAUAUGAAAAAAUUUUGUGUUUGACCGCUCGCAAAAUUUUUCCGUCGAGGGCGAAAAAAUUUUUCGGUGGACGGAAAAAAAUCGUGUGUGACCGCAAAUUUUUUCCAAUUUCUGACGGAAAAANCACAAGCCCAAGGCACCUGCUCCUCAGGAGCACCAGCCUCAGGCACCAGCUCAGACGGGCUCUGGAGACAGCAGCAAUAAGAGGAAGAGAGAGCCUCAGGGGAGCACAUCUCGCGGGGCACCUGAGCACCAGCCAGUACAUGCUGUUGCACCAGCUCCACAAGAGCACCAGUCACAGCGCAUACUGGCCUCUGCUCAGCCGUCCCGCGAGAUGGCCCCUGUCGUGGUUCCGUCGUUUGUCAUGGAGCCGGGCCAAUGGGAGGUCUUGAAGCAGCACUGCGGUGUGGACGACAUUCGGGCGACGCUCUGCAGGCGCUCCACUGCCAAUUACGUCUCUGAGGAAGAGCAGCAGAAGUACGCAGUGGAGCUGGUGUCAUUUCUUGUCUAUGAGGGGGCGCUGCCUCAUACACCCACGCCCAGGCAGAGGGAGCGUGGUGCGGCCAGGAAUCUGAAACAGAGAGCAAAUACAUGACUGAGGUGUGUGCCUGGCUAGCUAGCUGCUGUUGUAAGGAGGAGUGCAUACAAAGAAACUCCAAACAUACGUUCAUGCAGCCCUUGUGUCUUCUUGUGAUACUGGUCAGAACCUGGCCAGCCCUUCUGGUUUCAAGUAGAGCUGUCCAUUUCUCCUCCCCUACUUCCU
rnacentral:lncRNA from 1 species